AUGGCCGGGGACUGCACCAAGCGCAUACACGCACUACUACUUCUCCUUCUCGUAUGCUUCACUAUUCAUGCGCAAUGUAGAUGCAUAGAGGCGGACAAGGAGGAUCAACUUGCGUAUAUCAAGAAGAGUCAACCCAUCCCAAGAUGCUGCCUAGAUAAACAUAAUGACUACUGUUGUUCACUCAAUUUGGCUUGCUACGACACCAUUGAUCAGUGCACAGCCAACUGCUCAAUUUCACCUGCAAAAAAAAAAAAAAACUGCUCAAUUUCAGUUUCCUCCUCAUCUUCCGUGCUUUCAUGA
rnacentral:rRNA from 1 species